CCCUUAGAUGAUCUGGGCCGCACGCGUGCUACACUGAGUAAUUCAAUGGGUAAGGGAACGCUAGAGCAUUACCUAAUCUUGAAAUUUGCUCGUGAUGGGGAUCGACGGUUGCAAUUUUCCGUCGUGAACGAGGAAUACCUUGUAGGCGCAUGUCAUCAUCAUGCGCCGAAUACGUCCCUGCCCUUUGUACACACCGCCCGUCGCUCCUACCGAUUGAGUGAUCCGGUGAGGCUCUGGGACCUGGACGGAAAGAGCGUUUCGCUUGUUCUGUUUGGGAAACUUGGUCGAACCUUAUCAUUUAGAGGAAGGAGAAGUCGUAACA
rnacentral:rRNA from 1 species